rnacentral:rRNA from 1 species
AUUGAACGCUGGCGGCAUGCCUUACACAUGCAAGUCGAACGGCAGCGGGGACUUCGGUCCGCCGGCGAGUGGCGAACGGGUGAGUAAUGUAUCGGAACGUACCUUUCAGUGGGGGAUAACGUAGCGAAAGUUACGCUAAUACCGCAUAUUCUGUGAGCAGGAAAGCAGGGGAUCGCAAGACCUUGCGCUGAUUGAGCGGCCGAUAUCAGAUUAGCUAGUUGGUGAGGUAAAGGCUCACCAAGGCGACGAUCUGUAGCGGGUCUGAGAGGAUGAUCCGCCACACUGGAACUGAGACACGGUCCAGACUCCUACGGGAGGCAGCAGCGGGGAAUUUUGGACAAUGGGGGCAACCCUGAUCCAGCCAUGCCGCGUGAGUGAAGAAGGCCUUCGGGUUGUAAAGCUCUUUCGGCCGGGAAGAAAUCGCAUGGGCUAAUACCCUGUGCGGAUGACGGUACCGGCAUAAGAAGCACCGGCUAACUACGUGCCAGCCGCCGCCGUAAGAC